AGCGGACAGAUGGGAGCUUGCUCCCUGAUGUUAGCGGCGGACGGGUGAGUAACACGUGGGUAACCUGCCUGUAAGACUGGGAUAACUCCGGGAAACCGGGGCUAAUACCGGAUGGUUGUCUGAACCGCAUGGUUCAGACAUAAAAGGUGGCUUCGGCUACCACUUACAGAUGGACCCGCGGCGCAUUAGCUAGUUGGUGAGGUAACGGCUCACCAAGGCGACGAUGCGUAGCCGACCUGAGAGGGUGAUCGGCCACACUGGGACUGAGACACGGCCCAGACUCCUACGGGAGGCAGCAGUAGGGAAUCUUCCGCAAUGGACGAAAGUCUGACGGAGCAACGCCGCGUGAGUGAUGAAGGUUUUCGGAUCGUAAAGCUCUGUUGUUAGGGAAGAACAAGUGCCGUUCAAAUAGGGCGGCACCUUGACGGUACCUAACCAGAAAGCCACGGCUAACUACGUGCCAGCAGCCGCGGUAAUACGUAGGUGGCAAGCGUUGUCCGGAAUUAUUGGGCGUAAAGGGCUCGCAGGCGGUUUCUUAAGUCUGAUGUGAAAGCCCCCGGCUCAACCGGGGAGGGUCAUUGGAAACUGGGGAACUUGAGUGCAGAAGAGGAGAGUGGAAUUCCACGUGUAGCGGUGAAAUGCGUAGAGAUGUGGAGGAACACCAGUGGCGAAGGCGACUCUCUGGUCUGUAACUGACGCUGAGGAGCGAAAGCGUGGGGAGCGAACAGGA
rnacentral:rRNA from 1 species